UACGUAGGGUGCGAGCGUUGUCCGGAAUUACUGGGCGUAAAGAGCUCGUAGGUGGUUUGUCGCGUUGUCCGUGAAAACUCACAGCUCAACUGUGGGCGUGCGGGCGAUACGGGCAGACUGGAGUACUGCAGGGGAGAAUGGAAUUCCUGGUGUAGCGGUGAAAUGCGCAGAUAUCAGGAAGAACACCCGUGGCGAAGGCGGUUCUCUGGGACGGUACUGACGCUGAGACGCGAAAGCGUGGGGAGCGAACAGG
rnacentral:rRNA from 1 species